CGGGGCGGAGCGCAGCCGGGUUGGCGCACCAGUCUGGGGGACUGGAGGUCGCGAGUUCGAAUCUCGCCGCUCCGA
rnacentral:tRNA from 1 species